CGGGGAGUGGCGCAGUCCGGCAGCGCACUGCGUUUGGGACGCAGGGGUCGUAGGUUCAAAUCCUAUCUCCCCGA
rnacentral:tRNA from 1 species